UCGUUGUGCGAUGGACAGCGCGUUGGACUUCUAAUCCAAGGAUCGUGGUUUCGAAUCCCACCUGAGAAG